UCACGGAUCCAGACUUUGAUCCUGGCUCAGGACGAACGCUGGCGGCGUGCCUAAUACAUGCAAGUCGAACGAGCUCUCCCAAAUUGAUUAUGCUUGCAUAAAUGAUUUUUGGAUUCGGAGCGAGUGGCGAACUGGUGAGUAACACGUGGGUAACCUGCCCCAAAGCGGGGGAUAACAUUUGGAAACAAAUGCUAAUACCGCAUAAUUAGUUGGAACCGCAUGGUUCCAACUUGAAAGAUGGCUCUGCUAUCACUUUGGGAUGGACCCGCGCCGUAUUAGUUAGUUGGUGAGAUAAAAGCCCACCAAGACGAUGAUACGUAGCCGACCUGAGAGGGUAAUCGGCCACAUUGGGACUGAGACACGGCCCAGACUCCUACGGGAGGCAGCAGUAGGGAAUCUUCCACAAUGGACGAAAGUCUGAUGGAGCAACGCCGCGUGAGUGAUGAAGGUUUUCGGAUCGUAAAACUCUGUUGUUAAAGAAGAACAAGUGUUAGAGUAACUGUUAACACUUUGACGGUAUUUAACCAGAAAGCCACGGCUAACUACGUGCCAGCAGCCGCGGUAAUACGUAGGUGGCAAGCGUUGUCCGGAUUUAUUGGGCGUAAAGCGAGCGCAGGCGGUUUUGUAAGUCUGCUGUGAAAGCCCUCAGCUCAACUGAGGAAGUGCAGUGGAAACUACAAAACUUGAGUACAGAAGAGGAAAGUGGAACUCCAUGUGUAGCGGUGAAAUGCGUAGAUAUAUGGAAGAACACCAGUGGCGAAGGCGGCUUUCUGGUCUGUUACUGACGCUGAGGCUCGAAAGCAUGGGUAGCGAACAGGAUUAGAUACCCUGGUAGUCCAUGCCGUAAACGAUGAAUACUAGGUGUUGGAGGGUUUCCGCCCUUCAGUGCCGCAGCUAACGCAUUAAGUAUUCCGCCUGGGGAGUACGACCGCAAGGUUGAAACUCAAAGGAAUUGACGGGGGCCCGCACAAGUGGUGGAGCAUGUGGUUUAAUUCGAUGCUACGCGAAGAACCUUACCAGCUCUUGACAUCUUCUGCCAACCCAAGAGAUUGGGCGUUCCCUUCGGGGACAGAAUGACAGGUGGUGCAUGGUUGUCGUCAGCUCGUGUCGUGAGAUGUUGGGUUAAGUCCCGCAACGAGCGCAACCCUUAUUAUUAGUUGCCAGCAUUUAGUUGGGCACUUCUAGUGAGACUGGCCGGUGAAUAAACCGGAGGAAGGUGGGG
rnacentral:rRNA from 2 species